rnacentral:tRNA from 2 species
GGGGAUAUGGCGAAAU